AUUGAACGCUGGCGGCAUGCCUUACACAUGCAAGUCGAACGGUAACAGGUCUUCGGAUGCUGACGAGUGGCGAACGGGUGAGUAAUACAUCGGAACGUGCCCAGACGUGGGGGAUAACGAGGCGAAAGCUUUGCUAAUACCGCAUACGAUCUAAGGAUGAAAGCAGGGGACCGCAAGGCCUUGUGCGUUUGGAGCGGCCGAUGGCAGAUUAGGUAGUUGGUGGGAUAAAAGCUUACCAAGCCGACGAUCUGUAGCUGGUCUGAGAGGACGACCAGCCACACUGGGACUGAGACACGGCCCAGACUCCUACGGGAGGCAGCAGUGGGGAAUUUUGGACAAUGGGCGAAAGCCUGAUCCAGCAAUGCCGCGUGCAGGAUGAAGGCCUUCGGGUUGUAAAUUGCUUUUGUACGGAACGAAAAGGCUCUGGCUAAUACCUGGGGCACAUGACGGUACCGUAAGAAUAAGCACCGGCUAACUACGUG
rnacentral:rRNA from 1 species